rnacentral:lncRNA from 1 species
AGAAACAUUAUUCAUUCUCAAAUGACAGUUUGAAAUUAUAAUACCAACAUUUUUUCAAGUUUUGCAGUCAGAAAUAUAGUUAAUUUCCCAGCAGAUUAAGACUGUGCACUCAACUGGUGAUCAAACCCAGGACCUAUGCCUUUCAAGGCAAGUGCUUUAGUGAUUGAGCUAGUCUAUCACAUACAACUCGUGACCUCUCCUCACAACAUUACUUAUGCCAGUACCUUGCCUCCUACCUUCCAUACUGACAGAAGUACAGCUGUGAGAGUGGCCCAUGAGUAUUGCUCAGGUAUCUCCGUCAGUAGAGUGCUUGCCCACGAAACGCAAAGAUCCCAGGUUCAAGUCCCAGUUCCGGCACACAGUUUUAAUUCGCCAGGAUAUUUCAAUUAUUUGGAGCACAUUCCACUUCAG